UGUGAAACUGUUGCUCGGUGUCUGUUAGCAGCGUCUGAGGGAAACCGUCUCUUCUUGACCUCUUUGUUACCUUUGCCCUCUGGUCUUCCUUCUCUCUCUCGUCAAAUCUUAGAAUAAAGCAGGCAUCAUCCUAGGAAGAUGUGGAGGAUGAGAAGUUUAGAGACAAGUCAACCAUGCUAAGGUGUAUCCUGCUGUUUUUCGGGAAGAAGAGCUGAGCUGAUUCUCAGACCGUGGUGUCAGACCCUCCUCUCAUGGAAGGAGAAACAGACUUCAGCAGUCACAGAAAGAAGUCUUCAGAAAGUCCCCCUCAGAAAGCCUGUGAUGAGAAGAUGUGAGGGACUUGGCAGUCUUACGGGGGAAGCAAAAUAAUUGAUCUGAGUUUGUUAGGACAUUGCAACUUGUUACAAGUGAGAAACUGGACACAGCCACAGAAAGAAUAGAGCAAGAGGAGACAAGGCACCUUCCCAGAAGAGUAACAAUCCAAAGUUUACACUUCCAGUGAAAUGCUGCCUGAGAAGUGCUGGAUAUAAAAAGGCGACUCAAGUGCCUCUGUGAUGACACACCAAUUGCUG